rfam:Chryseobacterium indologenes strain CI_885 contig_12, whole genome shotgun sequence.
GAUCCCAUAGCUCAAUUGGUUAGAGUGCCGGCCUGAUACGUCGGAGGUUGAAGGUUCAAGUCCUUCUGGGAUUA